GUUGAAGGGCCUCUUGCUUCGGUCUGACUGAGACUGCUCAAUGUUGAUAGACUGGUUCAGGGCCUCCAGCUGGAGAGCAAUGGGACCAGGGCACCUCAGGACAAGGCAAACCCCAAACCUGCCUUCACUCCAUGCAGCUUCAGAUAGAAGCAGUCCAGCGGCUUGAGGCCUUCCGGUGUCUUAACAUACUUGGGCUCGCCCAGCAUGCCGAUGUACACAGUCACCUGGAAGUGGUUCUUCUUCUGGCACACAAAGGCAUCAUCACCCACCGAAAAGUUAAAGCCCUUGUCAGCAUCCACACGAUAGCCUUACCCCUACCCCUGUGGAAUCCAGGAGGGCAAGGUUCUGAGCCUCCACAGAGCAUCCUACACACAUGGCCUCUCUCAGAAACCUGAGGAUUUCAUCAACUCUCAUUCCCACAGCUGGACAGACUCCCCUCCAUGAUGCCCAGGGACCACCGGAAAGGCUUCAGAGUCUUUGUGAACACAUUCCUGCUCUGGCUGUAGAGUUUUACCACAUCCCUGGACAAGCCAUGCCCACUUCUUCCCCGGCCUCUGCCCCCCAGCUUGUGGAGGCCUCAUUACAUCUCUGAAAUCAGCUCAAGAAUAAAGAUCCUGAAUCUGAUGCAGACAUGUACCCCAAGUUACUGAGGAGGCUCAAGACGGAGGAUCACAACGUCAAGACCUGCCAGGGCUACAGAAUGAGUUUAAGGCCAACUUGGACAACUUAGUGAGACCCUGUCUCAAAAAGUGGGAAAAAAAGGCCUCCAGGAUGUAGCUCACUGGUUGAGCACUUGCCUAGCAUGCUUGAAGAGCUCCUGAGUUCAAAACCAAGAACCUCAAAUAAAAAAUGUGAACCCCAAAACAAGAUUUCCUGUGGGAAACAUGGAAGAGCAGACAGGGAAGGGC